CUACGACAAAAUCUUCGCCCUACCUUCGUAGCUCCACCUCUCCCGAACGCGCCGACAAUUCUCUCGUGCGCCGCUCUCGUGCGUGGAGGGUUCCGCCUCCGCUCCCUUGCACCACCGUGUUGCUGGUCAUGGAGGCCCCAUCACCUCAAGAUCGAGCUCCGCAUCUUCGUGCCCGACUUCUCCGGCUGCCAUAUCCACCCACCUCCACAUGCCCCCUGGCUCCCAGUCACAGGGAUCUGCAACCGCUGGGCCUUCAUCGUCGGCGCCGCCGCGCCGCCCUCCACGCAGGGUGCGGUCGAUGGCCGCCGCCUGGACGCUCCACGCGCACACACAAUAGUCAGCAGGCGGGCGACACAGCGGCAGCCGUAGGGGAGCCGCGGCGACGAGCCGGUGACCAGCGGGAAGCGGCGGAGCAGCGGCCACUAGCCAUCGGCAGCGGAGCAGGCAGGCGACCGCGACAUCAACGGCCAGCAGCCAGAUUUCGCAUGCCUACCUAUUUGCAGGUGCUCAGAUUUCAGCCAGGACGCCUGCUAGCAUAUUAACACCUAGCAAUAGCAGUACCAUUCUAUUAGUUGUUUGCAAUCAACGUGUGUCGCUGGUGCAGUGAACUAUCUAGGGAACUAGGUGGUUUCGGGUUUGUUAAAUUCUGCCACCUUGAGAGUGCCGCAUAUGACAAGCAAGAAAUUAAUCAUCAAAUUAUACGUGGUCGAGAUAUUACAAUAGUCUUUCCGAGGAGAACAGAAAAAUCCCACAAGAACUGCACUUUAGAACAAGAUCAAGGGAACAGGUUUAGAAGAUGUACUUUAUGACAUGUGAAAGAGGUCAAAGAGCCUUUGUUGAACCAUGCCAAAGGAUGUCUACACAAGAUGAUGCAACUAAAAAUCGCAGGAAACCAGGAAGCAUCAAGUUUGCAGGAGGAGCAAUGCAAUGGCCAGGGUCAUGCUAGCAUUGUAGAGAAUGCUGAUUUUAUGCCUGUACUUGAAGGCGCUGAUGGUGGUAGUGUGCAGAAUACCAAUAUUAUUAGUGAUCAGGGGAAUGCAGAGCAUGGAAGCCCAAGAUCAGGAGAUGGCGAAGAUUCAAAAGUGCAGGCUACCAGUUCAGAUGUUGGUGAUGAUCCUGUAGGACCUCUGCCAUAGAGGUGGAUGGCGAGGAACUGCCAGAUUGCCUUUCGAAGGAAAGCACUGAAUGGCAGAUUUCUUCCCAAGAACCACCUCCCUUACAACCAGCGCGCCAAACAUAGAGGGAGAGGAGGGCUUGGCAGAGAAAAUCUCCUCCCGCUCCGCUCGAUAUGGACGGGAACUCGCGGGCGGAGGGAGCAGAGGAGACGGCCGUAGGGGAAAGGGGGAGCAUGGUCACCUGGGAGAGGUGAAUUGGAUGGACAGAGGUGGUGGGACUAUUCAGCUGCGGCAGCAGUGCAGAUGGAAUUCUGGUGAAUCGGCCGCCGUGACCUAGCGGUGCUAAGUCGGGUGGGAGUAGUGGAUUUCGGGUGCGGGGCAGCACGUGGCGGCAUAGCUUGGAGCUCGGAAUUCUCCGUCGGCGGCGUCGCUGCAAGUAAUUAGACACGGCUGUUCAUUGGCGGUGCUAGGGGUAUUCCCCUAUAGUGAAAUAGCACAUACCCCAUACAUAAGCCCAACAGGGAAUGCUCCUCCGUAGCUCGCACGAAGACCAAGCCACAAAGGCACGAACCGGUCGAACCCACUCACACUCACGGUCGCUGCACGCGCACACACAGCAGUCAGCAGGCGGGUGACACAGCGGCAGCCGUAGGCGAGCGGCGGCGACGAGCUGGCGACCAGCAGGAAGCGGCGGCACAGUGGCCACCACGACAUCAACGGCCAGCAGCCAGAUGUAGGAAAUAGGCCAUGAUCUACAUGUAUUGAUGCCUUGAUAAUGGCAGGUCUUGCGAGUACUUCAAUAUAUGUUAAUUGGAGGUUAGAGCUAUGAAGUUAUACCUCAGAACUUGGGGUAAUGGCAUGUGAAUUGCAGUGGUUUGAGUACUGCUAAGAGCAUACAUUUCAUCAAUCUGGAAUGCAUCUUUAUUUAAUUUAAUUCAUAAUGAGGAAGUGAAACACGAACCGUGUUGGCGAUUUUUUUGGAGCUUCAAAGAUAACAGCGAAAAGAGUAGAAGGAAUGAGGAUGACGAUAAAUCAUAAGGGUGUCGUUUGGAUGGAGGAGCAAACCAGGAGGCAAUUUGUAGAUGCCAUUAGAUGCAGCACCUGGCGUGUUCAGAUUGCAGAACAUGGUGGUGGGAUGAUGCUGGCAGGAGGAAAAGAGGGAUGCAAUUUCUGAAGGUUUAUAUUUACUGCUUUGAGGAUGACAGGUGUAUCGGGUGACACAGGGGAUGAGAGUUGGACGGCUUUAAGGUCCGUGACCAAUGACCUCCUCCCACCUUCAGAAAAACUGUUCUCGCAUGGAAACAUGGUUCUGAAAGAUCACACCUGUUGUAAUCUCAAAUGAAAUAAGCAUACAGCCAGCUGUUGGUGCACAUGGAAAUGGAAGAUCUUUGGUCAAUUCAAUCUUCUCUUUACCUUUGAUGGGAACUCACUGAAUAAUAUGGACGUGCUUACUUGGAUAGAGAAGAUGGUAAGUUAGAUCAAUCAUCUUGGGAGAGGUUUCUUAUCCGACAGAAUCCGACUAGACUAAUGAUUCUCAUUAUAUUUAACUGAUGUGGCAAAUAUGAAAAGUGCAAAAGAAAAGUGUGGCAAAUGUGCAGCCCCCUUUAAGUAACAUGAGUCUUUGUCUGAAUAUUAUAUUAUAUUAAAUGUAACUUGGAAAAGAAAUUGAGGAUCUAUUAUAUUAAA